GCUCCGGUUGCCUAGUGGUUAGAGCGUUCGCGUCGGAUGCGGGAGGUCGUGGGUUCGAUUCCCGGUCGAGUCA